AGAGUUUGAUCAUGGCUCAGAUUGAACGCUGGCGGCAUGCCUUACACAUGCAAGUCGAACGGCAGCGCGGGGCAACCUGGCGGCGAGUGGCGAACGGGUGAGUAAUAUAUCGGAACGUGCCCUGGAGUGGGGGAUAACGCAGCGAAAGUUGCGCUAAUACCGCAUACGAUCUAAGGAUGAAAGCAGGGGACCGCAAGGCCUUGUGCUCCUGGAGCGGCCGAUAUCUGAUUAGCUAGUUGGUGGGGUAAAGGCCUACCAAGGCAUCGAUCAGUAGCUGGUCUGAGAGGACGACCAGCCACACUGGAACUGAGACACGGUCCAGACUCCUACGGGAGGCAGCAGUGGGGAAUUUUGGACAAUGGGCGAAAGCCUGAUCCAGCAAUGCCGCGUGAGUGAAGAAGGCCUUCGGGUUGUAAAGCUCUUUUGUCAGGGAAGAAACGGUGUGGGCUAAUAUCCCGCACUAAUGACGGUACCUGAAGAAUAAGCACCGGCUAACUACGUGCCAGCAGCCGCGGUAAUACGUAGGGUGCAAGCGUUAAUCGGAAUUACUGGGCGUAAAGCGUGCGCAGGCGGUUUUGUAAGUUUGUCGUGAAAGCCCCGGGCUCAACCUGGGAAUUGCGAUGAAGACUGCAAGGCUUGAAUCUGGCAGAGGGGGGUAGAAUUCCACGUAGCAGUGAAAUGCGUAGAGAUGUGGAGGAACACCGAUGGCGAAGGCAGCCCCCUGGGUCAAGAUUGACGCUCAUGCACGAAAGCGUGGGGAGCAAACAGGAUUAGAUACCCUAGUAGUCC
rnacentral:rRNA from 1 species